rnacentral:rRNA from 1 species
UACGUAGGGUGCGAGCGUUGUCCGGAAUUAUUGGGCGUAAAGAGCUUGUAGGCGGUUUGUCGCGUCUGCUGUGAAAAUCCGGGGCUCAACCCCGGACUUGCAGUGGGUACGGGCAGACUAGAGUGUGGUAGGGGAGACUGGAAUUCCUGGUGUAGCGGUGAAAUGCGCAGAUAUCAGGAGGAACACCGAUGGCGAAGGCAGGUCUCUGGGCCACUACUGACGCUGAGGCGCGAAAGCGUGGGGAGCAAACAGG